rnacentral:lncRNA from 1 species
AGGGCGCAUUUUUAGGAAAUGAUUCUGCAGCGUCUACUGGUGCGUCACCAAGUCGGGCUUGUCAGCCAGGGACUCCUGCACGUGCUGCAGGGUGUGAGUGGACGAGUGGCGAGACGAAGCUGCUGCUGGACCUCUACGCCUCAUAUUUCCCUCAAGUUGGCCCUCUGAAAAAAUUUCGCAACAAAAAGGCCAUGUUUGAAAAAAUUGCAACAGACAUUAAUAAUAAACUGGGUGUAAUGAGAACUGGUGAGCAGUGCUGCUCUCGGUACAAAACCGUACUGAAAAGAAAAAAUGUGGCAGCUGGGAAAAAUAAUACGUCUGGCUGUUCCCCACAAGAAGUCCCCUACGAGGCCGAGCUUGAAAAAAUCAAGUGGCUGGACGACAGCUUGGAACCAGAAGUGGUACGCGACGCAAGUGGAGUGGUAUCAAAAAAGACAUGUCCACAGUCAUCCACCGAGUCUGUUCCACUUGCUGGUUCAAGCUCGUCAACGUCACACUCUCCAUCCAGCUCCGUUGGGCAGGACGACACUCCUGAUUCAAAAAGAAAACGCCCGAAUUCAGCACGCGAGCUCCACCUGCAAACCUUCUUUGAAAAAAUGAAGGAGUUAGAUGAACGGCGAGCAGAGCGAAAGGCUGAAAGAGACAGCAAGAGGGAAGAGCGACGACUUGCUAAAACACAGCGACGAGAAGAAAUGCACAAAGAAAAGAUGAAUCUUCUCCGUGAAAUUUUCAACUUGAAGAAAAAUGAAUAAAAUGUGAAAAGCA